AACGCGAAGAACCUUACCAAGGCUUGACAUUGCCCGUGGACCCGCAGAGAUGUGGGGUCCUUCGGGGGCGGUCACAGGUGGUGCAUGGCUGUCGUCAGCUCGUGUCGUGAGAUGUUGGGUUAAGUCCCGCAACGAGCGCAACCCUUAUCCUAUGUUGCCAGCGGGUUAUGCCGGGGACUCAUGAGAGACUGCCGGUGUCAAACCGGAGGAAGGUGGGGAUGACGUCAAAUCAUCAUGCCCCUUACGUCUUGGGCUGCACACAUGCUACAAUGGCCGGUACAGAGGGCUGCGAUCCCGUGAGGGUGAGCGAAUCUCAUAAAGCCGGUCUCAGUUCGGAUUGGAGUCUGCAACUCGACUCCAUGAAGGCGGAGUCGCUAGUAAUCGCGGAUCAGCAACGCCGCGGUGAAUACGUUCCCGGGCCUUGUACACACCG
rnacentral:rRNA from 1 species